GGCGAGUAGAGAGGUACUGUUUCCAAAACUCUCGGUGAAACGAAACAUAAACUUGACUUCCUUUUAUUCAGUGGUAGAUAUACUUACCUAGAAUGGAUGCAGGCUAGUGUGUGGGCACAAAGAGGAUUUAAACACACACAUGUUUAUCACCAACUCCGUCAGGCCCGACAUGUUUUGAUAAAGGCUGAUUUGGGUUCCAAAGAACAGUUUUUCUACGGAAACAGCAUCUCAUCGAGUCGGAAGAGCCUCAGCAAAGCCAAGGCCAGGGCGCAGGUCCUGAGCCGUCGGGGUCUCCGCCGGCAGGCCUAGACUGACCGAAAUGUGGUCCUAACCGGCUGACCCAGGAAGGAGCAGACAUACAUAAUUGUGAACCCACGAUUUCGUUUUGUUUUCCUGAAGCCAGCUGUGGCCCUUCAGUACACGCCCGGGCAGCGUGUACCGCGGCCCGGCUCGGGUCCGAGCGGGUGGAGGCCGGCUCCAACAGGUGUGGCACGGGUGCGCCCGGCCAACCUCGGCGGGGUCUCUCCCCAGCACCCGCACCAACACCGGCCCGGGCAGGGCGGGAGCCCCAGGCCUUAGAGAUCGGCCUGCGCACCGCCCGCGGCCGCCUCGCACGGAUGGGGAAAAGGCGGGAGGCCGAGACGCGUCCUCCCUCGCCCCCUCCUUAAAUUCCAGCGUCCUCCAUUUGCUGCGCCCGGGGUGCGGCCUAUUCAGUCGCCGGCCCCCAAAUCGGGGCGGCUUCGAGAGCAGAGCCAGGGCUGCCAAGAGGGCGGAGGAGGAGCGGGAAGGGAGUGCGGCGAGUCCGCGGGGCAGUGCCCUGUGCCGCGGAGCUGAGUGCGCUGGCGGCCCUGCCACCUGUGCGGGCGCGCGGCGGCUGCGCCCCGGCCCAGGCCUGGGGCUCCCAGAAAGACCGAGCCAGCCCGAAGGCGGGGCUGGAAGUAGCGGCACGGCCCAGCCGCGCUGCGGCGGCGGGGAGCUGGGAGGUUCUGGCGGGCGCGAGUUCCCUGAGCGGGCCUCUCCCGAGCGCUGCGUCGGCGCCCCGGGCGUCCCGAGAGCCUGCGGGCACCCUAUUCGCCCCCUGGCGGCGCCGGGGACAAGACGGGCGCCGCCGAUGCCACCGCCACUGCCGCGGAAUGAGCUGUCCACAGUAGCACUGGGCGCCGCCCGAAGUCACGCAAGAAUCUGUCCCAGGGCUGCGAACCGAUUUGAGACUAUGGAAACGGUAGACAAAAAGCAAAUUUGA
ensembl:lincRNA